rnacentral:misc_RNA from 1 species
AAAAAAUCCCACCGCUAGAAUUUUUUUUUUUUAAAGAAAAUUUAAAGGCCGAAUAGGUCGCAGUCUUCAAUCAAAGACUAGAAAAUUUUGUUUCUUCUUCUCUUUCGCAGAAAGUUUCAGGCUGCUAUUGCUUUCAAACAGAAGUUUGAGGUCUGCAUAAAGGAUUCUAAAUCUACUGGUAGCUGUUCGGAAGAUUGGGCAGAACGAGCAGCCAAUCUCUUUCUGAAUCAGUAGUGGAACAACAGAUGCUACGCUCGUAGCAUGGAAUCACACCAGUUUUUCAGAUACGGUGUCACUGG